rnacentral:rRNA from 1 species
GAUGAACGCUGGCGCGUGCCUAAUACAUGCCAGUCGAGCGAACAGAUGAGGAGCUUGCUCCUCUGACGUUAGCGGCGGACGGGUGAGUAACACGUGGAUAACCUACCUAUAAGACUGGGAUAACUUCGGGAAACCGGAGCUAAUACCGGAUAAUAUAUUGAACCGCAUGGUUCAAUAGUGAAAGACGGUUUUGCUGUCACUUAUAGAUGGAUCCGCGCCGCAUUAGCUAGUUGGUAAGGUAACGGCUUACCAAGGCAACGAUGCGUAGCCGACCUGAGAGGGUGAUCGGCCACACUGGAACUGAGACACGGUCCAGACUCCUACGGGAGGCAGCAGUAGGGAAUCUUCCGCAAUGGGCGAAAGCCUGACGGAGCAACGCCGCGUGAGUGAUGAAGGUCUUCGGAUCGUAAAACUCUGUUAUUAGGGAAGAACAAAUGUGUAAGUAACUAUGCACGUCUUGACGGUACCUAAUCAGAAAGCCACGGCUAACUACGUG